CACAAGCCUGUUUAAUCCCCAGCAGCCAUGUAUAGGUAGAAGAGAAUGUACUCCACAGAGUUGCCCCCUGACCUCUGCACAGGUUGUGUGGCACACACAAUCCCCUUUUUAAUAGUAAAUAAAUAAACAAUAAAACCUGAGCUAUAGGGGAUAUGUUAGAGUCAACCAACAACAGAUGGUAACUCUGAGUCUCUAUGUUUUCUCCUUGGGGUACACAAGGCUACUGCUUGCCAUCUAGUGCUGGGCUGUCUUGAUAUCUGUUGGCAGUGUUUGAAUGUCCUUCCAUGCUGAUCAGGACUCUGGAGUCAGCUACUCAGGAGCUGUGUGCAUCAAGGCUCGAGUCUCAGGACCAGAUGUCAGCCUGAACAGAUAAAAUCAGCUGCUGAGAAGAGCUGUACAGUCUCACAGAGAGAUGAAUUAUACAGAGAAUAAAAACACACUUUAAGACCA
rnacentral:lncRNA from 1 species